GAUGAACGCUGGCGGCGUGCCUAAUACAUGCAAGUCGAGCGAACGGACGAGAAGCUUGCUUCUCUGAUGUUAGCGGCGGACGGGUGAGUAACACGUAGAUAACCUACCUAUAAGACUGGGAUAACUUCGGGAAACCGGAGCUAAUACCGGAUAAUAAUUUGAACCGCAUGGUUCAAAAGUGAAAGACGGUCUUGCUGUCCCUUAUAGAUGGACCCGCGCUGCAUUAGUUAGUUGGGAAGGUAACGGCUUACCAAGGCAACGAUGCAUAGCCGACCUGAGAGGGGGAUGGGCCACACUGGAACGGGGACACGGCCCAGACCCCUACGGGGGGAAGCAGUAGGGAAUCUUCGGCAAUGGGCGAAAGCCUGACGGAGCAAGGCCGGGUGAGUGAGGAAGGUCUUCGGUUCUUAAAACUCUUUUAUUAGGGAAGACCAGUUGUGUAAGUAACUGUGCACAUCGUGACGGUACCUAAUCAGAAAGCCACGGCUAACUACGUG
rnacentral:rRNA from 1 species